rnacentral:rRNA from 1 species
CAGUCGCCGCGGUAAUACGAAGGGGGCUAGCGUUGCUCGGAAUUACUGGGCGUAAAGGGCGCGUAGGCGGACAGUUCAGUCGGGGGUGAAAGCCCGGGGCUCAACCUCGGAAUUGCCUUCUAUACUGGCUGUCUUGAGUAUGAGAGAGGUGUGUGGAACUCCGAGUGUAGAGGUGAAAUUCGUAGAUAUUCGGAAGAACACCAGUGGCGAAGGCGACACACUGGCUCAUUACUGACGCUGAGGCGCGAAAGCGUGGGGAGCAAACGGGAUUAGAUACCCGUGUAGUCCCUGUCUCUUAUAC